rnacentral:lncRNA from 1 species
CUCCCAGCAUCCGUUCUGUCCUCCUACUCCCAGCUGCUCACAUGGCCGCUGGUGCAUCUGAGAACACAGUGAGGAACACGUGCUCUGGGGAGUGAACACUGUGACUGUGUCUUUUGAACCCUCUCACAGCACAGCUCAGAGAAUGAUGGCGGGAGAUCAAUGUGCCGCCCCUUCCAGGCUGCAUUUGCAUUUUAAUAGAAGACGUCAGGGCCUCUGCCUCCUGGGUGAUCCAUGCUGGAACCUCAGCCCUCCUGACGACUCUGGGAGGCCUCUUUCCUACUGUAGGAUGGCGGCACACAGGCAAGGCAAGCCCAGAAACCGCUGAGGCCAUUUGUGCAUGCACAUGCUUAGGCUGUGGCAGUGUAGACCCUGUGCUCACACACUGACUCUGUGACAGUGUAAAUUAACUGUGUGCUGAGCACAGACGCUCCCUCCUCCUUCUACCCCAUCACAAUCCUGGAAGUGAAGACUUAGAAUGUCUCAGAAGGAGGAGUGUGAUGUCACCAAGCUGUUGGAAAGAAUAUUCUAGAGGAAAUACCAGAGGCAGAACAUGAGGUAAAAUGCCGUGGGAAUCACAGGGAGCUAUCAGAGUAAGACACUUCGAGAGAAUAUGGACCCAGGUAUAGAGGUGCUGAGGGACCAGUACCAUCAUGGCAGCAGAGUAGAGUCGGGCUAGAGAUGUCAUGGAAUAACUCUGAUGACCAGUCUCCAACUUCUUGGUUUGCCACUUGCCUACAAUGACCUUUCACCUCCUUCAUAGCAAAGUCCUUUGCUGUCAUUGUUCUCCUGCUGGAAACAGCCUUCCAGACCUCCAGAGGCAAGAGCACCCAGAACUGCCAGGUGUCUGAUAUGUCACAAUGAAUGGAAACAGGAAACAUUCCGUCCUGCAGGAAGCUCCUUAGGAUUAGGGAGGUGGGUGUCAGCAGACUGACCAAUCCCAGGGGGCCACGGAGCCUUCUCCUGUGCUGGGGCAGAAACCUCACAAGACUCAGGAAGGUUCUAAAGCCAGAGAGUUACAACCAUCCUAAAAAGUUAUACAAGCAGUAACGGCUGCUGGAAGAGAAUGCCCUGGCUAAGCUACCUGCCAGUUUUACAGGGAGUUCCAGGACCAGGGUGGGCCUUUGAUGAUUCUGCUACCUUUGAGUCUACCACUCCUCUAAGCAACCCUUCACCCGUGCUCUAUAAACCUGAUACAAUUGUUGCCAAGGAAGUCACACAACUGUAGGACUACACCUUGGGAUCCUCUCCCAGUUGUACCCACACAGCCACUGUUCUCUCCAGCCAUUCACAGAGGCCUCAGAGGGGAAAGCCACGGAGCGCACAGGAACCAACUGCUCAUCUUUGCCUGCAUGCCACAUGUUCAGCAAACAAACCCUUGCUCGGAAAUCCCCGGUUUCUCCAGAAUGCAAGCAUUCCCAGGGAAAUUGAGGUGUAAAUUGGUUACCUGGCAUGUUGUUUUGAACUUGACUCCACAUAAAGAGAUGUUUAUUUCCAGACUGUCUCUAGCUCCGAAGAAGGAAGUGAAGACACAUUUAAGGCCUCCAGCAUUUACCCCCUUGUGCCCCAAUCCUCUAUCUCCGGAAAUCAGGAACAGGGAGGGUUUUGCAAACAAGUUACAGGGCCGUUCAUUCUUGCAGAGAACCGUGCAGCAAGUAGCACCUAAGGUAUUCUAAGCUCUGCUUUAUAGAUGUCAUGUAUUCUGGCUGUUUUUGUGUGUCAACUUGACACAAGCUGGAGUUAUCACAGAGAAAGGAGCCUCCUUUGAGGAAAUGCCUACAUGAGAUCCAGCUGUAAGGCAUUUUCUCAAUUAGUGAUCAAGGUUGGGAGGGCCCAUUUUGGGUGGUGCCAUCCCUGGGCUGGUAGUCCUAGCUUCUAUAAGAAAGCAAGCUGAGCAAGCCAGGGGAAGCAAGCCAGUAAGGAACAUC